GAUGAAGAACGCAGCGAAAUGCGAUAAGUAAUGUGAAUUGCAGAAUUCAGUGAAUCAUCGAAUCUUUGAACGCACAUUGCGCCCGCUAGUAUUCUGGCGGGCAUGCCUGUUCGAGCGUCAUUGCUGCCCUCAAGCACGGCUUGUGUGUUGGGCCUCCGUCCUCCUCCCGGGGGACGGGCCCGAAAGGCAGCGGCGGCACCGCGUCCGGUCCUCGAGCGUAUGGGGCUUCGUCACCCGCUCUUGUAGGCCCGGCCGGCGCUUGCCGACACAUCAAUCUUUUUUCCAGGUUGACCUCGGAUCAGGUAGGGAUACCCGCUGAACUUAAGCAUAUCAAUAAGCGGAGGA
rnacentral:misc_RNA from 1 species